GCCAAUGUGCGGCUGCCUUACACAUGCAGUCGAACGGACGAGACAUCGGUGCUUGCACCUGGUGGCUAGUGGCGAACGGGUGAUUAGUACAUCCUGAACAUGUCCUGUAUUGGGGGAUAGCCCGGCGAAAGCCGGAUUAAUACCGCAGACAAUCUACUGAAAAAAGCGGGGGACCUUCGGGCCUCACGCUAUAGGGUUGGCCGAUGGCUGAUUAGCUAAUUGGUGGGGUAAAGGCCUACCAAGGCGACGAUCACUAUCUGGUCUGAAAGGACGACCAACCACACUGGGACUGAGACACGGCCCAUACUCCUACAGGAGGCAGCACUGGGGAAUUUUGGACAAUGGGCGAAAGCCUGAUCCAGCAAUGCCGCGUGUGUGAAGAAGGCCUUCGGGUUGUAAAGCACUUUUGUCCGGAAAGAAAUCCUGAGGGCUAAUAUCCUUCGGGGAUGACGGUACCGGAAGAAUAAGCACCGGCUAACUACGUGCCAGCAGCCGCGGUAAUACAUAGGGUGCGAGCGUUAAUCGGAAUUACUGGGCGUAAAGCGUGCGCAGGCGGUUUGCUAAGACCGAUGUGAAAUCCCCGGGCUCAACCUGGGAACUGCAUUGGUGACUGGCAGGCUAUAGUAUGGCACAGGGGGGUAGAAUUCCACGUGUAGCAGUGAAAUGCAUACAGAUGUGGAGGAAUACCGAUGGCGAAGGCAGCNCCGGGGCCCAAUACUGACGCUCAUGCACGAAAGCGUGGGGAGCAAA
rnacentral:rRNA from 1 species